GAUGAACGCUGGCGGCGUGCCUAAUACAUGCAAGUCGAGCGAACAGACGAGGAGCUUGCUCCUCUGACGUUAGCGGCGGACGGGUGAGUAACACGUGGAUAACCUACCUAUAAGACUGGGAUAACUUCGGGAAACCGGAGCUAAUACCGGAUAAUAUAUUGAACCGCAUGGUUCAAUAGUGAAAGACGGUUUUGCUGUCACUUAUAGAUGGAUCCGCGCCGCAUUAGCUAGUUGGUAAGGUAACGGCUUACCAAGGCAACGAUGCGUAGCCGACCUGAGAGGGUGAUCGGCCACACUGGAACUGAGACACGGUCCAGACUCCUACGGGAGGCAGCAGUAGGGAAUCUUCCGCAAUGGGCGAAAUCCUGACGGAGCAACGCCGCGUGAGUGAUGAAGGUCUUCGGAUCGUAAAACUCUGUUAUUAGGAAAGAACAAAUGUGUAAGUAACUAUGCACGUCUUGACGGUACCUAAUCAGAAAGCCACAGCUAACUACGUG
rnacentral:rRNA from 1 species